GGGGUAAAGACCUCAGAGAUGUCUGGAGGCAAUAGAGGACAACCCCUUGUCAAGUGGGGAACCUGUGGAGAAAUUACGAAACUGUCAUCAUCCUUGAGGACAUGUUCAAACAUGCCUUCUUCUCGCAGGCCACUUACUGCUGCUCUAAUCAUUGGAGUUCAAGGUUAUUCUGAAGAGAGGAAUUAAAAGGAAGGUUCAUUUAAAUACUGCUAUGGAUAAAUAAAUGCUAUUAGCUUCCCCAUUCCCUGAGGUGUAUUUUUAAAUCAAAAUACUGCUACUGUACUCUUUGCUGGUCCUAAUUCAACCAUACACUAAGUAGAAAUAAUGCUAUUGGCACUUACAGACUUGCACAAGCAGUAGAAAUGCUGUAUGAAUAUUAGCUACAAAAAUUAGAAUGGGGUCAUUUUUAUUGCUAAUUAAAUAAUCACUUUAUGCAAAAGCAGUGUAAAAUAUGUUUAGUAAAAGCAAUUACCACAUUUAAUAAACAGUUUUGUUAGAGGUCUCUUCCACUGAACUAGAAUUAAUUUGAAGCCCUUUAAGUCCUUUCCCUAUAUUUUCUCACAGUACAAUGCAGCAGUUAGUUAGUGGCACAGUUGACUGAUUUUAUUGUACUCUAACUUAAAAGAAACAGUUAUGGAAUUGUAAAGUAGAAAAGUGUGCAUGUCUAUAUAUUGCUACGGUAGCUAUCAUUGAGAUUAUAACACUUAGAUGUCAAGAAAAUCAAUUAGGAAUAAGCACUGAGGAGAGUGAUUUCCAGCGAUGUCUGGGUCUUUUUUUCUGUUUUCUCUAUGUGGGAGCACACAACAAAGUUGUUCAUUGCCUUUCCUUCUCCCACCCUGUUGUUAUAAACUGUUGUGUGAAAUCCUGUUCGGACAUUCUCCUUUUCCCGUGGCAUUUCAAUGAGAGUAAUUGAUCUCCUGGCCUUCUCUGAGGCAGACUGAGCUAGCAGAGCACGCUCUCCUCAUGUUAUUUCAGGAGAAUUAUUUAUGGCGAAAGAGCUAAGGAAAUAGGGUUAUUACUAAGGACUUGGGAACAGAGGAAGAUGAACAGAACUGGAGGUUGUAAAUUAAAUAAAGAAUGGGACCAAAGAAAAAAAAACAACAUGGCAAGUCACGGGAUCCGGUUCUGCUCUUGCUUCACACCAGUUUGCUCUACUGACCUAAACAGCUCUGAGGCGAGCUUCAGAGUCUGUGUUGUUACUGUACAUAAUAGAUCUGAGCAAAAAAAUAGAUCUGGGGGAAAAAAUAAAUAAAUUGCAAAAUACAUGUGCAUCCCAGGACAGAACCCCAGCUGAGGGUAAAUGAGAUAAAUAUCAGAGUUCAACAGAGCUGAUUUGAGCUUUUGGAGGGUCUGGUCUGUUUCAUUUUUCUCGCGUUAUGAAUAAUUGCUAAUGAUGCAAACUGUUACUAAACUUGUUUCGCCAUUUGGUGUAUGGCUUGCUAUUUUUUUGAGGGAAAAAGUACUGUAUGUAUUUAGCUCAAUCCAAUACAGAAAUACCCCUCAGAUUGUCUCCAUUUGCUGGAUUUAUGCUGUCACAAAGUGAACGCAAAUCUCAGUUUGGUGUUCAGGUGUUUUGAAAUAAAUCACUGAACUGCAGCCUUCA